ensembl:snRNA U6 U6 spliceosomal RNA
GUGCUCGCUUUGGCAGCACAUAUACUAAAAUUGCAAUGAUACGGAAAAGAUUAGCAUGACCCCUGCUCAAGGAUGACAUGCAAAUUUGUGAAGUGUUCCAUAUUUUU